GACGAACGCUGGCGGCGUGCUUAAUACAUGCAAGUCGAACGAAGUGGCGAACGGGUGAGUAACGCGUAAACAACCUGCUCUUCAGAGGGGGACAACAGUUGGACACGACUGCUAAUACCGCAUAAGGUGGGAGGGGAUUGAGUCGGAUUGGCUGGUUGGAGGGGUAACGGCCCACCAAGGCGAGGAGCAGUAGCCGGUCUGAGAGGGUGAACGGCCAAAUUGGGACUGGUACACGGCCCAGACUCCUACGGGAGGCAGCAGUGGGGAAUCUUCCGCAAUGGACGAAAGUCUGACGGAGCAACGCCGCGUGGGUGAUGACGGCCUUCGGGUUGGAAAGCUCUGUUAAUCGGGACACGGUACCGGAAUAGAAAGCCACGGCUAACUACGUGCCAGCAGCCGCGGUAAUAC
rnacentral:rRNA from 1 species